GUGGGGAAUAUUGCACAAUGGGGGAAACCCUGAUGCAGCCAUGCCGCGUGUGUGAAGAAGGCCUUCGGGUUGUAAAGCACUUUCAGUAGGGAGGAAAGGGUGAGUCUUAAUACGGCUCAUCUGUGACGUUACCUACAGAAGAAGGACCGGCUAACUCCGUGCCAGCAGCCGCGGUAAUACGGAGGGUCCGAGCGUUAAUCGGAAUUACUGGGCGUAAAGCGUGCGCAGGCGGUUUGUUAAGCGAGAUGUGAAAGCCCUGGGCUCAACCUAGGAAUAGCAUUUCGAACUGGCGAACUAGAGUCUUGUAGAGGGGGGUAGAAUUCUAGGUGUAGCGGUGAAAUGCGUAGAGAUCUGGAGGAAUACCGGUGGCGAAGGCGGCCCCCUGGACAAAGACUGACGCUCAUGCACGAAAGCGUGGGGAGCAA
rnacentral:rRNA from 1 species